AGCAGCCGCGGUAAUUCCAGCUCCAAUAGCGUAUAUUAAAGUUGUUGCAGUUAAAAGCUCGUAGUUGAAUUUCGGGGUUAGUAGGUCGGUCGUGCCACAGGUAUGUACUGGUCUCACUGAUUCCUCCUUCCUGAUGAACCGUAAUGCCAUUAAUUUGGUGUUGCGGGGAAACUGGACUGUUACUUUGAAAAAUUGAGUGUUUAAAGCAGGCUAACGCUUGAAUACAUUAGCAUGGAAUAAUGAAAUAGGACGUUCGAUCCUAUUUUGUUGGUUUCUAGGAUUGACGUAAUGAUUAAUAGGGAUAGUUGGGGGCAUUAGUAUUCAAUUGUCAGAGGUGAAAUUCUUGGAUUUACUGAAGACUAACUACUGCGAAAGCAUUUGCCAAGGAUGUUUUCAUUAAUCAAGAACGAAGUUAGGGAUCGAAGACGAUCAGAUACCGUCGUAGUCUUA
rnacentral:rRNA from 1 species